AUGUCAGAUAGUGCAUUGCAAGAUCUCAAUGCUGCUCAAUCUGUUGUGCUGGAGAAAAGCAAAGACAGUUCUGUGGAACCCUGCAGUUCUAAGCCUGUCUUAAACGGGAACAAAUGUGUCAAGAAGGAAGGAAAUGCUGUACCUGCAUGUCCUGAUGUAACCAAUGGAUGCGAUGCUGUAGUUGUAGAUGUUGAAUAUAUUGAUUCUGAGAAUCUCACGGAUCUUCCAGAUGUUGACACAAGCCUGAGUACUUUGCUUGCUAGGUUGGAUUCAAAGGAUUGGAUCAAGACAUGUGAAGCUCUUAAUAAUGUUCGUCAGUUGGCAAUAUAUCACAAGCAAAGGUUGCAGGAGCUGCUGGAGCCUCUAGUUCCUCUUAUUGUGAAAUCUGUUAAGAAUCCAAGGAGUGCUCUAUGUAAAACUGCACUUAUGACCUGCGCUGACAUCUUUAAGGCAUACGGUGAACAAAUGGUCGACUUGAUUGAUCUGCUGCUAAUGCCGCUAUUUCUGAAAUCUUCACAAGACAAGCGCUUUGUUUGUGAAGCAGCUGAGGCAGCCCUUAUAUCAAUGACAAGCUGGAUCUCCCCCUCUGUAUUGUUACCAAAAAUGCAGCCCUACCUCAAGAACAGGAAUCCACGAAUUCGAGCAAAAGCAUCUGUUUGUUUCAGUAAGAGUGUACCACGCCUUUACCUUCUUCUUUCUACCCAGGGUCUGGAGGGAAUCAAAGAAUACGGAAUGGACAAGCUCAUUCAGGUCGCAGCAACCCAGCUCAGCGACCAGCUUCCUGAAUCAAGGGAGGCUGCUCGUAACCUUUCACUGGAGCUACAAGCAUUCUAUGAGAAGUCUCAAGCCUCUGGUUCAGCCGAAGAUGAAAGUGCACCUGCUAUUUCACCAGAAGCUGAAACCUGGGAGGCUUUCUGUCUAUCUAAGCUUUCCACGUUAAGCGCCCAAGCAAUCCUCCGUGUCACUGUGGGUGUCCCCGUUGCCCCGAAAGAAGGCGGCAUCUCUGCUGCUCUGAAAGAAGGCGCCGUCCCUGCUGCCAUGAAAGAAGGCGGCAUCUCUGUUGUUGUUGCUCCAAAAGAAGGUGGCGUCCCUGUUGCUACGAAAGAAGGUGCUGCGGCCGUGGGCUGCUAG
rnacentral:rRNA from 1 species